GGAAUAUUGGACAAUGGGCGCAAGCCUGAACCAGCCAUGCCGCGUGCAGGAUGACGGUCCUAUGGAUUGUAAACUGCUUUUGUACAGGAAGAAACACUCGGACGUGUCCGAGCUUGACGGUACUGUAAGAAUGAGGAACGGCUAACUCCGUGCCAGCAGCCGCGGUAAUACGGAGGAUCCAAGCGUUAUCCGGAAUCAUUGGGUUUAAAGGGUCAGUAGGCGGGUUUAUAAGUCAGUGGUGAAAGCCCAUCGCUCAACGAUGGAACGGCCAUUGAUACUGUAGAUCUUGAAUUAUUAGGAAGUAACUAGAAUAUGUAGUGUAGCGGUGAAAUGCUUAGAGAUUACAUGGAAUACCGAUUGCGAAGGCAGGUUACUACUAAUGGAUUGACGCUGAUGGACGAAAGCGUGGGUAGCGA
rnacentral:rRNA from 1 species